GAGCGAAGUAAGUCAAUCGGAGAAGGACAAACAGGUGGGCAGUGGCUAAUCAAUCGGAACACCCGUUUAUGUGCUGUAUACUGAGACUAGAGGAAGACAGUCAUGAACAUCCACACUUAUGGUCUACUUCCCUGGCUGUCUCAGCACAGUGGUGUGUGCUGGAGCCAGCUCAUCCUGUCUGGCAAGGGCCGGUUGUGUGCAGCUCUUCCAACCUUAGCAUUCAGAGAUGUUGUGUUGGUAUUGAAACUGGCUUCAAGGGAGGUAGUCACACCGUGAAAAUUGGCAAAUGCUACACAUCAAGGCUUUUAUCUCCAGAGAGGGACUGUCAAACAUUUA